rnacentral:rRNA from 1 species
UUGGAGGGCAAGUCUGGUGCCAGCAGCCGCGGUAAUUCCAGCUCCAAUAGCGUAUAUUAAAGUUGUUGCAGUUAAAAAGCUCGUAGUUGAAUUUCGGGGUCAGUAGGUCGGUCGUGCCACUGGUAUGAACUGGUUUUACUGAUUCCUCCCUCUUGAAGAACUGUAAUGCCAUUAAUUUGGUGCUGCAGGGAAUCAGGACUGUUACUUUGAAAAAAUUAGAGUGUUUAAAGCAGGCUUUAGCUUGAAUACAUUAGCAUGGAAUAAUGAAAUAGGACGUUUGAUCCUAUUUUGUUGGUUUCUAGGAUUGACGUAAUGAUUAAUAGGGAUAGUUGGGGGCAUUAGUAUUCAAUUGUCAGAGGUGAAAUUCUUGGAUUUAUUGAAGACUAACUACUGCGAAAGCAUUUGCCAAGGAUGUUUUCAUUAAUCAAGAACGAAAGUUAGGGGAUCGAAGACGAUCAGAUACCGUCGUAGUCUUAACCAUAAACUAUGCCGACUAGGGAUCGGAUGAUGUUAAUUUUUUAAUGACUCAUUCGGCGCCUUACGGGAAAC